UACAGAGGGGGCAAGCGUUGUUCGGAAUUACUGGGCGUAAAGGGCGCGUAGGCGGCCGAUCAAGUCAGGCGUGAAAUCCCCAGGCUCAACCUGGGAACUGCGUCCGAUACUGGAUGGCUUGAAUUCGGGAGAGGGAUGCAGAAUUCCAGGUGUAGCGGUGAAAUGCGUAGAUAUCUGGAGGAAUACCGGUGGCGAAGGCGGCAUCCUGGACCGACAUUGACGCUGAUGAGCGAAAGCCAGGGGAGCAAACGGG
rnacentral:rRNA from 1 species